AGUCCGAGGCCCAUUAGGAGCACAGUGAACAGCAGCCCAGGCGAGCCCAGGGAGGCAAGAAAAUGAGGCUCCCCGUGAGGUCUAAUAAACACCUCUCGCCACACCCCAAACACAUAGACACGCAAUAGAGCCCAUAGGUCCUGAGUGAGUCCCCCUGGCCCACCCCAUUCAGCUGAGAUCUGACAACAUAUGUUUGGGGACAAACAGCCCCAGCAGCCAGGAGCAGGCCACAUCAUACAUAGUCAGCAUCAGCCAUGGUCCCCUCCCACUCUCCUGGGGGAAAAAGGUGCUUUACAGGCAGCGUGGCAUCCGAGCAUCCCCAUGGCGAUGCUGAGGUCAGACCUCACUGUGGUGAUCUCACGCUGGGGCCACCGGACUCAGGCCAGGCUGGGAGUAGGCUGUCUAGCCAUUGCUGGCUGUCAUUGUCACCAAGGGAAGGGGAGAAGCUGUGAAGAGUUGCUCUGGAAAAAACAAAUCUGCUCAUAGGACAAUGGGUCUGGGUGAACCUAUCCCGGCCCUCUUGGCUGCUGGGCCAGGGCCUGGUUUUUCACAGGGCACCAUUGAGACCACAGGAAGUGGCUUCCUGCCUCUGAAGACAGCACACAACUGCCCUAGAAAGCGCUCUUGUCACCCCUGCUGCUGGAGUGCAAUUGCACAAUCUCGGCUCAUUGCAAGCUCCGCCUCCCAGGUUCAAGUGAUUCUCCUGCCUCAGCCUCCCUAGUUGCUAAGACUACAGGGUAGAGAAUCAGAGGCUUGUAGAUGUCUUUGCCACUUCCACGGGAUCUCUGGGAGCUGGAAACUGAGCUUUAAGAAAUAACUAUAGUGCAAAGGGAACUAAGGGAAAAGGGUUCAGCCCAAAGCAGAAGGGACUGUGAUGAUCACAGUGACCUCCUGAGGCCAGCAUGGUGGUAGCAGCCAGAGACAGCAGCUGAGUGAGACCCUAAGGGAGGGAUGAGCCAGGCAGUGUGUGGUUGGAGUUCUCCCUACACAUCUCGUUUUCCUCACCUCCAGAUCACACACAUGCACACACACAUAUGCACCCACACACCCCUUACACACUCCGGCCCGAAGGUUUCUGCAGGACUCCUUCCUGGCACUCUCUCCAGUGCUGCCAGCGUCGCACCACACUGCAAGGCUUUGCAAACUUUCCUUCCAAAGUGAAGGAGACCCUCUGGCCAUCUGAGGCUCGGUCUGAAGCAACAGCCUCAGAGCGCAAUCUCAGGCAUGCAGGAAGUGCAGGAAGGCCACGUGCCACAUACGUUAUCUCACUUAAUCUCAUUAGCAGGAAAUGUCUUUAAAGUCUUAUGUUGGUGCUUAAAAAUUCCUGAGCAGUUUAGCCCUUAAUAAAGCCAGGCUUUUUAAAAUUUGAAA
ensembl:lncRNA LINC02685 long intergenic non-protein coding RNA 2685